AUUGAACGCUGGCGGCAGGCUUAACACAUGCAAGUCGAGUGGGGGAAGGUAGCUUGCUACCGGACCUAGCGGCGGACGGGUGAGUAAUGCUUAGGAAUCUGCCUAUUAGUGGGGGACAACAUCUCGAAAGGGAUGCUAAUACCGCAUACGUCCUAUGGGAGAAAGCAGGGGAUCUUCGGACCUUGCGCUAAUAGAUGAGCCUAAGUCGGAUUAGCGAGUUGGUGGGGUAAAGGCCUACCAAGGCGAGGAUCUGUAGCGGGUCUGAGAGGAUGAUCCGCCACACUGGGACUGAGACACGGCCCAGACUCCUACGGGAGGCAGCAGUGGGGAAUAUUGGACAAUGGGGGGAACCCUGAUCCAGCCAUGCCGCGUGUGUGAAGAAGGCCUUAUGGUUGUAUAGCACUUUAAGCGAGGAGGAGGCUACUUUAGUUAAUACCUAGGGAUAGUGGACGUUACUCGCAGAAUAAGCACCGGCUAACUCUGUGCCAGCAGCCGCGGUAA
rnacentral:rRNA from 1 species